CAGUCGCCGCGGUAAUACGAAGGGGGCUAGCGUUGUUCGGAAUUACUGGGCGUAAAGCGCACGUAGGCGGCUUGGUAAGUUAGAGGUGAAAGCCUGGAGCUCAACUCCAGAAUUGCCUUUAAGACUGCCGAGCUAGCAGGUGAGAGAGGUAAGUGGAAUUCCGAGUGUAGAGGUGAAAUUCGUAGAUAUUCGGAAGAACACCAGUGGCGAAGGCGGCUUACUGGCUCAUACUGGACGCUGAGGUGCGAAAGCGUGGGGAGCAAACAGGAUUAGAUACCCCUGUAGUCCCUGUCUCUUAUAC
rnacentral:rRNA from 1 species